rnacentral:rRNA from 1 species
ACGGGGCGCAGCAGGCGCGAAAACUUUACAAUGCGGGAAACCGCGAUAAGGGGAUACCGAGUGCCAGCAUAUUAUGUUGGCUGUCCACAUGUGUAAACGGCAUGUGUUAGCAAGGGCCGGGCAAGACCGGUGCCAGCCGCCGCGGUAACACCGGCGGCCCGAGUGGUAAUCACUUUUAUUGGGUCUAAAGGGUCUGUAGCCGGUUUGAUCAGUUCUUCGGGAAAUCUGACAGCUCAACUGUUAGGCCUCCGGGGAAUACUGUCAGACUUGGGACCGGGAGAGGUAAGAGGUACUACAGGGGUAGGAGUGAAAUCUUGUAAUCCCUGUGGGACCACCAGUGGCGAAGGCGUCUUACCAGAACGGGUCCGACGGUGAGGGACGAAAGCUGGGGGCACGAACCGGAUUAGAUACCCGGGUAGUCCCAGCCGUAAACGAUGUUCGCUAGGUGUCAGGGACGGUGCGACCGUUUCUGGUGCCGUAGGGAAGCCGUGAAGCGAACCACCUGGGAAGUACGGCCGCAAGGCUGAAAUUUUUAAGGAAUUGGCGGGGGAGCAC